rnacentral:misc_RNA from 1 species
GAUGAAGAACGUAGCGAAAUGCGAUAAGUAGUGUGAAUUGCAGAAUUCAGUGAAUCAUCGAAUCUUUGAACGCACAUUGCGCCUUCUAGUAUUCUGGGAGGCAUGCCUGUUUGAGCGUCAUUAAACCUCUCUCAAGUAUGAUUACUUGGAUGUGAAGGAAGAGUACCUUAAACUUAAGGAGUGUUCUCCUUUGAAAUUGAUUAGCAGAUGGUAAUGUUAUUAAAUCCCUGAUGUUGUAAGAAAUAACAGUGGUUUUGUAGACUAUUAUCUAGCUUUAAAUUAUAAUUUUUAUUAUGGUUGACCUCAGAUCAGGUAAGGAUACCCGCUGAACUUAAGCAUAUCAAUAAGCGGAGGA